GGGGAGAAGCAGCCAGGCCAGUGGUUUUGAUGUGGAAAUGUCUGAACUGCAGAACAAGCCUCCUUUCAACUCCCAAUUAACAUGGGAGCCUCCCCAGCCAGGCAGAGCUGGGUUGGCAGGAGCUGCAGCAGACCUGGGCAGCCAACGUCAGGGACUCUCCUCAGUUUUCUCAUUGCUGACAAUGAUGAGGGGGCCACGCACGGGGAA
rnacentral:lncRNA from 1 species